UACGUAGGGUGCAAGCGUUAAUCGGAAUUACUGGGCGUAAAGCGUGCGCAGGCGGUUGUGUAAGACAGAUGUGAAAUCCCCGGGCUCAACCUGGGAACUGCAUCUGUGACUGCAUCGCUGGAGUGCGGCAGAGGGGGAUGGAAUUCCGCGUGUAGCAGUGAAAUGCGUAGAUAUGCGGAGGAACACCGAUGGCGAAGGCAAUCCCCUGGGCCUGCACUGACGCUCAUGCACGAAAGCGUGGGGAGCAACAGG
rnacentral:rRNA from 1 species